rnacentral:rRNA from 1 species
CACGUAGGGUGCGAGCGUUGUCCGGAAUUAUUGGGCGUAAAGAGCUCGUAGGCGGUGUGUCGCGUCGGCCGUGAAAACCUGCAGCUUAACUGUGGGCUUGCGGUCGAUACGGGCAUCACUGGAGUUCGGCAGGGGAGACUGGAAUUCCUGGUGUAGCGGUGAAAUGCGCAGAUAUCAGGAGGAACACCGGUGGCGAAGGCGGGUCGCUGGGCCUGAUCUGACGCUGAGGCGCGAAGGCGUGGGGAGCGAACAGG